CCUACGGGAGGCAGCAGUCGAGAAUCAUUCACAAUGGGGGAAACCCUGAUGGUGCGACGCCGCGUGGGGGAAUGCAGGUCUUCGGAUUGUAAACCUCUGUCAUGUGGGAGCAAAUUAAAAAGAUAGUACCACAAGAGGAAGAGACGGCUAACUCUGUACCAGCAGCCGCGGUAAUACAGAGGUCUCAAGCGUUGUUCGGAAUCACGGGGCGUAAAGGGUGCGUAGGCUGUUUCGUAAGUCGUGUGUGAAAGGCGCGGGCUCAACCCGCGGACGGCACAUGAUACUGCGAGACUAGAUGAAUGGAGGGGGAACCGGAAUUCUCGGUGUAGCAGUGAAAUGCGUAGAUAUCGAGAGGAACACUCGUGGCGAAGGCGGGUUCCUGGACAUUGACUGACGCUGAGGCACGAAGGCCAGGGGAGCGAAAGGGAUUAGAUACCCGAGUAGUC
rnacentral:rRNA from 1 species